rfam:Nematostella vectensis strain CH2 x CH6 NEMVEscaffold_5025_Cont48994, whole genome shotgun sequence.
GUUUCGGUGGCCGAGGAGUUAAGGCGUUAUACUCAAAAUCCCAUGGGAUCUACCCUCGCAGGAUCGAAUCCUGCCCGCAACG